GACGAACGCUGGCGGCGUGCCUAAUACAUGCAAGUAGAACGCUGAAGGAGGAGCUUGCUCUUCUGGAUGAGUCGCGAACGGGUGAGUAACGCGUAGGUAACCUGCCUGGUAGCGGGGGAUAACUAUUGGAAACGAUAGCUAAUACCGCAUAAGAGUAGAUGUUGCAUGACAUUUGCUUAAAAGGUGCAAUUGCAUCACUACCAGAUGGACCUGCGUUGUAUUAGCUAGUUGGUGGGGUAACGGCUCACCAAGGCGACGAUACAUAGCCGACCUGAGAGGGUGAUCGGCCACACUGGGACUGAGACACGGCCCAGACUCCUACGGGAGGCAGCAGUAGGGAAUCUUCGGCAAUGGACGGAAGUCUGACCGAGCAACGCCGCGUGAGUGAAGAAGGUUUUCGGAUCGUAAAGCUCUGUUGUAAGAGAAGAACGAGUGUGAGAGUGGAAAGUUCACACUGUGAC
rnacentral:rRNA from 1 species